ACUACAGCAAAUGGCACCGCAAGAAGCAAGCAGGGAUUCCCAAGGAGGAGGAGUACAAGCUGAUGUACGGGAUGCUCUUCUCUAUCCGCUCCUUUGUCAGCAAGAUGUCCCCGCUAGACAUGAAGGAUGGCUUCUUGGCCUUUCAAACUAGCCGUUACAAACUCCAUUACUACGAGACGCCCACUGGGAUCAAAGUUGUCAUGAAUACUGACUUGGGCGUGGGACCCAUCCGAGAUGUGCUGCAUCACAUCUACAGUGCGCUGUAUGUGGAGCUGGUGGUGAAGAAUCCCCUGUGCCCCCUGGGCCAAACUGUGCAAAGUGAGCUCUUUCGCUCCCGACUGGACUCCUAUGUUCGCUCUCUGCCCUUCUUCUCCGCCCGGGCUGGCUGAAGCAACCUACCUCAUGUCUCAGCAGAAUUAACAUCUGCCUGGGGCCCUUCCGAACCUGUGCCACCUGAGGGCUCCCACUGUAAGCCCCCAUCCCCCCGACUGUAAGCCCCCAUCCCCUCCACCCAGAACAACAGCCUAAAGGCCUGCCUCGAUGCUCUCCUCCUACCAGAAUGAAGCCCCCAGAGUUCCUCCACCUUCAAACCAGGCCCUCUCCAGUUUUAUCCCCUGCCUGACGCUGUGAGAAGCACAGAAUAAACUUUUUGUCACUC